rnacentral:rRNA from 1 species
AUUGAACGCUGGCGGCAGGCCUAACACAUGCAAGUCGAGCGGAUGAUGGGAGCUUGCUCCUGGAUUCAGCGGCGGACGGGUGAGUAAUGCCUAGGAAUCUGCCUGGUAGUGGGGGACAACGUUUCGAAAGGAACGCUAAUACCGCAUACGUCCUACGGGAGAAAGCAGGGGACCUUCGGGCCUUGCGCUAUCAGAUGAGCCUAGGUCGGAUUAGCUAGUUGGUGGGGUAAAGGCCUACCAAGGCGACGAUCCGUAACUGGUCUGAGAGGAUGAUCAGUCACACUGGAACUGAGACACGGUCCAGACUCCUACGGGAGGCAGCAGUGGGGAAUAUUGGACAAUGGGCGAAAGCCUGAUCCAGCCAUGCCGCGUGUGUGAAGAAGGUCUUCGGAUUGUAAAGCACUUUAAGUUGGGAGGAAGGGCAGUAAGUUAAUACCUUGCUGUUUUGACGUUACCAACAGAAUAAGCACCGGCUAACUUCGUGCCAGCCGCCGCCGUAAUAC